rnacentral:rRNA from 1 species
UACGUAGGGGCAAGCGUUGUCCGGAAUUAUUGGGCGUAAAGAGCGCGUAGGCGGUCCGGUAAGUCGGCUGUGAAAGUCAAGGGCUCAACCCUUGAAAGCCGGCCGAUACUGUCGGACUAGAGUCCGGAAGAGGCGAGUGGAAUUCCCGGUGUAGCGGUGAAAUGCGCAGAUAUCGGGAGGAACACCAAUGGCGAAGGCAGCUCGCUGGAACGUCACUGACGCUGACGACGCGAAAGC